GCUAAGGCAUUUGACUGUCUUCUGUUUUUUUCUGGUAAAGAAGUGAGCCAAACAAAACAGCAACGCCUGUUAUAGCAAUUGUGAAUAGAAGCCGCUUCCUGGAAGCUUCGUGUGGUUGCCUUCUAGGAGCACCGUGACGAUCUCUCUCAGCUAGACUAGUGUUGCUGGAAGAUUCUGCAAUGACAUUUGUGCCUCCAUUGCAUCUACUCUCAUGGACAUCUCUUUCAUGGAGCCUAAUAUAUCUGCUACACAUAUGACAGAGUUCUGUUCUAUUCCCACAUACUUCCUGAUGCUUAAAUAAAUCAAUUGCAGGCAAAGG
rnacentral:misc_RNA from 1 species